rnacentral:lncRNA from 7 species
AGUGAAUGCAGGCAGUCAGGAAAAGUGGGACCUCCAGGAAAAUUCAAGGAGUACAGGGAAAAGGCAGAGCCCUGGAAAGGAGCCAAAUAAAUCUUGUUGAGGAAAAAUAAAUAUCUCUGUUGGAUGUCAUUCAGAGAUACUGCUAUGUAGCUGGUAUUUCCCAAUGAAGCCUGUGAACUGAGCAACUGAAGCCUCCUGCAACAUCAGUGACUGCUUGGAGCAGAGAAAACUGAAUCAGUGUUCAAAAAGAAAAAAACAUGUCCAUAGCUGCUGACCUCACACAGCAGCAUGAGCAGUACGACAGAGGACCUUCUGUGAGGACAAGUAAGCAUCAGUGGGGCCAUCUGCAUCUUUCUCCUCCCUCCAUGAAAUCAAGGUAUAUUAGAUAUUCUUGCUGAACAUGUGGUGUUAAAAGAGACAACAGAAGCUGCCCAGAAAUGCCACCAAGAGCAAAAGCUGCACAAAGGACAGCAGAAAGCUUCAGAACUUUGGGUGAAAUGCAUUUGAGAGCCUGAACAGACACUUCAGAAUCGGAAACUGCCCAAAUGUUGUAAUGGAAACAGGGCCAGGAUCAUUAUAAGCCUGGGUCAAUAAGGUAUGGCCAUGAUCUAAGUACAUUCCUAUGGUCCAAUAUGACAAGAUGUGACCAGAAUUAAGCACCUACUCAAGUCAAAACAUGAAUAUGUGAAUGACUUUGCUUAGAGAAUGGAGAGUGGCUCAGUUAAGGUUAAAAUCAAACACAGUCCCCACAGAACAAUAUGCGUCCAUCACUGCCAGCUACUUGUACUGCUGAAUAAAGCUGUCAGAUGCUGAGCCGGGCUGAAAAGAAACAUUCAUCAGGAUCCAAAGCAACGGACAAGAAGAGCACAAGUGGAAAAUUCAUGUUUCCUGUUUGGAUAAAGCCUUUCCACUUAUCCCAUUAUUCUAAGAGGUUUGUCUGGUCUCAUUUUGCUGGUAGCCAUGCACAGAACGCCGAGGUUCCGGCUGCAGGUUCCCUGGUGGGGCAGCAACGUGCCAUAAGCACCACUUACGGCACUUUGCUGGUGAUGGCCUUUGGAGACUGGCUUUUAGCAGUGUAUUCAGGAAGAGAAGUGGGGAAUGACCAUGGAAAUUACGCAGCUUGCGAGCUCCAGCUUCCUUUCAAAUGACUUUGCUACACAAAUUUCACUUUGCAGUAUAUCAAUAUAUAUACAGCAUCUUUCCUUGACGCUUAAAUGGACGCUGUAUUUUUCUUCUGGGAUAUCCAUGUAUGUAUGUCAUUUCCUAUUUCUCUAAAGCUAGAAGUUUAGAAAUAUCUCAAAUAUAACCCACUCACUCUUUUUUUAAUAACUUUGAUUUAUAUUAAUGCUGUUUUAUAACUAGCUACUCUCUGGCCUGUACUCAUAAACUAGAACUGUUCCCAAACUUUGAAAUGAGACUUCAGGACAAUAAAGCCUGCACUAUUGCAGCCCUUUCCUAUCAGUAUAUAAUUCCUAUGAAUCUUCUUCCAAUGCACAGAUUAUCACUUCAAGCUUUUGCUUUUAAGAUUUGAAAACCUCUUUUUUUUCCACAGUUCUUAUUCUGACAUGGUUUGAUAUAAUCAACAAUCAGGAAACCAAAGCCCGAUGAUGUCUAAUAGCCAUAUCUAAUCAUAAAAAAUGCAUAUAUUUGUAUAAGAAAAGGAACACACUAAUUUCUUUAUAUUUGACUCUGUAAAACCCAUAAGUUUAGGCCCAGAAGUUAGAUAUAGUAACACUAGAAAGAAGUUUCGAUGAAUGAAAUAUUUUGUGUUAAAAUACAAUGAAUUAUCUCUU